AAAAGACAACGGGAGGUCAUUUUAUACGGAAAUUUCCAACAUGUAACCUUUUUUUAUUGCUAUUCCAGAAGUACACCCGAUGGCAGGCCGAACCCUAUCUCUCCUUCGGGGGCCAAGUUGUGAUUUGCUUGGCAGGAGCCGUGGUGCGGAACACUGGAGGCUGAGUGUGACGCUCCUUGUUGGCCGCUAUGAUGAUGAUGUGGUUUCGUGGAAGUUGGCGAAGUUAUUCCCUUAUGAUAACGUGACUGGCCUUCCUCCCUCGCGGUGAAUUCGCUCUGUUUAGACACCAUUAAGAGUCAUGUCUAUUUUAUGUGAUUCCGUGGGAAUUAGCCGCUGUAAAGACACGCCAUGCAGAUCAAAGAGAAGUACACCCGAUGGCAGGCCGAACCCUAUCUCUCCUUCGGGGGCCAAGUUGUGAUUUGCUUGGCAGGAGCCGUGGUGCGGAACACUGGAGGCUGAGUGUGACGCUCCUUGUUGGCCGCUAUGAUGAUGAUGUGGUUUGGCUACUACCAGCUGAGAGGCCACAGCAUGCUGUCCUGAAGACCGGCCAGCAACCCGGACUCUAGAGCAGUGGUUUGCAUUGGUUGGUGUAGCAGUGCCGGGAGGAGCCAUAACACUCACCUCAACAACAGUCUCUUCACCGACAAGUAAUUCUUCACCAACCAGCUUUUCAGCAGCUUGGAGAAAUAGAGACAAGAGGAGGAAGAGGAAGAAGAAGAAGAAGAGGAAGAGGAGGAUGACUUUGAAGACCAGCAGACAGACAGAAA